rnacentral:tRNA from 1 species
CGGAAUGUAGCUCAGUGGUAGAGCAAUAGCAUUGUAAGCUAUGCGCCGCAGGUUCGAUUCCCGCCUUUCCGA